rnacentral:rRNA from 1 species
UACGGAGGGGGCAAGCGUUAUUCGGAAUUAUUGGGCGUAAAGGGCGCGUAGGCGGCUAGAUGUGUCAAAGGUGAAAUCCCUCGGCUCAACUGAGGAACUGCCUUUGAAACUGUCUGGCUUGAGGCCGGGAGAGGGUAGCGGAAUUCCCAGUGUAGCGGUGAAAUGCGUAGAUAUGUGUCGGAACACCAAUGGCGAAAGCAAUCUCCUGGACGCAAACUGACGCUGAGAUACGAAAGCCAAGGUAGCAAACAGG